GUCCCUGUAGCGCAAUGGAUAGCGCGUUGGACCUCUCAUCCAAAGGUCGUGGGCUUGAAUCAUACCUGGGGUG
rnacentral:tRNA from 1 species